rnacentral:misc_RNA from 1 species
GAUGAAGAACGCAGCGAACUGCGAUAAGUAAUGUGAAUUGCAGAAUUCAGUGAAUCAUCGAGUCUUUGAACGCACAUUGCGCCCCCUGGCAUUCCGGGGGGCAUGCCUGUCCGAGCGUCAUUGCUGCCCUUCAAGCCCGGCUUGUGUGUUGGGUCGUCGUCCCCCCCGGGGGACGGGCCCGAAAGGCAGCGGCGGCACCGCGUCCGGUCCUCGAGCGUAUGGGGCUUUGUCACCCGCUCGAUUAGGGCCGGCCGGGCGCCAGCCGACGUCUCCAACCUUCUAUUUUACCAGGUUGACCUCGGAUCAGGUAGGGAUACCCGCUGAACUUAAGCAUAUCAAUAAGCGGAGGA